UGCAGUUAAAGCUCGUAGUUGGAUUUUGGUUAAGAGGGCGCGGUCGGCCGUUUGGUCUGUACUGCGUUGUCUUGACUUCCUGAUGAGGACAUGCUCUUGGUUAACGCUGAGACAUGGAGUCAUCGUGGUUACUUUGAAAAAAUUAGAGUGUUCAAAGCGGGCUUACGCUUGAAUAUAUUAGCAUGGAAUAACACUAUAGGACUCCUGUCCUAUCUCGUUGGUCUCGGGAUGGGAGUAAUGAUUAAGAGGAACAGUUGGGGGCAUUCGUAUUUCAUUGUCAGAGGUGAAAUUCUUGGAUUUAUGAAAGACGAACUUCUGCGAAAGCAUUUGCCAAGGAUGUUUUCAUUAAUCAAGAACGAAAGUUGGGGGCUCGAAGAUGAUUAGAUACCAUCCUAGUCUCAACCAUAAACGAUGCCGACUAGGGAUUGGUGGAUGUUAAUUGAUGACUUCACCAGCACCUUAUGAGAAAUCAAAGUUUUUGGGUUCCGGGGGGAGUAUGGUCGCAAGGCUGAAACUUAAAGGAAUUGACGGAAGGGCACCACCAGGCGUGGAGCCUGCGGCUUAAUUUGACUCAACACGGGGAAACUUACCAGGUCCAGACAUAAGUAUGAUUGACAGAUUGAGAGCUCUUUCUUGAUUCUAUGGGUGGGUGGGG
rnacentral:rRNA from 1 species